GGAUUAACUGCAUUCCAUAAUUUCCAUUGAAUCAAUUCAAAAGUCCAAACCCAGAACCCACCUAAUCAUUAAAUCAUGCAUUCAUACUCCUCAAAUUCUUAAAUCUCAAUUUCUUCCCGUUGAUUUUGGAAACCCCCAAAGGUCUAAGCUUCUGCAAGUCAGAAAGAAAACAAUACUGGUGGCAACGUGUUCUUCAGUUCACGGUUCAUCUCCGACUCCGAUUUUUUGCCGUCCACUGCACCAUAGAAUUUUGAGGUAUUGACAUAUUGUCAUUUUAAUCAUAAUAACAAAAUGCUAUGUUUUGUACAAAAUUGUAAAGUUGAAUUUCUAUCAGUAAAAUAAAAACAAGAAAUUGUUUGAAUAAGUCACAAUAGGAACAUUUUCCCGAACCCAAACUAGUCAUUAGUGUCGACUGAAUGGAAUCAAUGGAUACAUAAGAGACUCUGGAUUUCGGGUAAGAAAUUUGCGGAUUUUUGGUGUUUUUGAAAGAGAGCUUUUUGUAUAGGCUAAAAUCUAACCAGUAGAAUUUUUCUUUGCUUGCAUUUUUGGGUGGUAACACACAGAAUGUUUUGAAAUACAAUUUACCGAGUGCAUCUCUUCCUUAAUCUUGUAGACCAGGUAUUUGUUGAAAUGACAUAGCAUUCUCUUACUGUUUUUACGCAUUAUUGUUUUUGUUGUUCAAUUUGAUUUUAAUUUCAUAAUUUUUUGUAUGAUAUAAUGUACAAGGAAAAUUUCGUGAAAUUGCAAAAAUACAAUUCCAUGUUUAGAAUAAUAGUUUUGUCAGUGUAAUUUUACAUUUUUUCAUGAUUUUUUUUUUAAAAUCUAGAUAGCAAUUCAUAAUAGAAUGGAGGAUGAGCUUCUUGCUGAUAGUGUGAUGCUCUACAUUGAACGAGAAUUUGUCGAGAAAGUAGAUGUAGAUUAAUUCUAAUAUAGAUGAGUUUUGCGUAGUCAAAGCUUGAC
rnacentral:lncRNA from 1 species